AUUGAACGCUGGCGGCAGGCCUAACACAUGCAAGUCGAGCGGAUGACGGGAGCUUGCUCCUUGAUUCAGCGGCGGACGGGUGAGUAAUGCCUAGGAAUCUGCCUGGUAGUGGGGGACAACGUUUCGAAAGGAACGCUAAUACCGCAUACGUCCUACGGGAGACAGCAGGGGACCUUCGGGCCUUGCGCUAUCAGAUGAGCCUAGGUCGGAUUAGCUAGUAGGUGAGUUAAUGGCUCACCUAGGCGACGAUCCGUAACUGGUCUGAGAGGAUGAUCAGUCACACUGGAACUGAGACACGGUCCAGACUCCUACGGGAGGCAGCAGUGGGGAAUAUUGGACAAUGGGCGAAAGCCUGAUCCAGCCAUGCCGCGUGUGUGAAGAAGGUCUUCGGAUUGUAAAGCACUUUAAGUUGGGAGGAAGGGCAGUAAGUUAAUACCUUGCUGUUUUGACGUUACCGACAGAAUAAGCACCGGCUAACUCUGUGCCAGCCGCCGCCGUAAGAC
rnacentral:rRNA from 1 species